rnacentral:rRNA from 1 species
AUUGAACGCUGGCGGCAUGCCUUACACAUGCAAGUCGAACGGUAACAGGUCUUCGGAUGCUGACGAGUGGCGAACGGGUGAGUAAUGCAUCGGAACGUGCCCAGUAGUGGGGGAUAGCCCGGCGAAAGCCGGAUUAAUACCGCAUACGACCUGAGGGUGAAAGGGGGGGAGCGCAAGACCUCUCGCUAUUGGAGCGGCCAAUGUCAGAUUAGCUAGUUGGUGGGGUAAAGGCCUACCAAGGCAACGAUCUGUAGUUGGUCUGAGAGGACGACCAGCCACACUGGGACUGAGACACGGCCCAGACUCCUACGGGAGGCAGCAGUGGGGAAUUUUGGACAAUGGGCGCAAGCCUGAUCCAGCAAUGCCGCGUGCAGGAAGAAGGCCUUCGGGUUGUAAACUGCUUUUGUCAGGGAAGAAAUCUUCUGGGUUAAUACCUCGGGAGGAUGACGGUACCUGAAGAAUAAGCACCGGCUAACUACGUGCCAGCAGCCGCGGUAAGAC